rnacentral:rRNA from 1 species
AUGGCAUCCUCCUCUUCCUUCCUUCUCCUUGCUGCACUUCUUGCGUUGGUCUCAUGGCAAGCCACUGCUUCUGAUCCUAGCCCACUCCAGGACUUUUGUGUCGCCGACAUGAAUUCACCAGUCCGUGUCAACGGGUUUGUUUGCAAGAACCCUAUGGAGGUCAAUGCAGACGACUUCUUCAAGGCGGCAAACCUUGACAAGCCUAGGAUGCCCAACAAGGUUGGAUCCAACGUCACUUUGAUCAACGUCAUGCAGAUUGCUGGACUCAACACCCUCGGCAUCUCAAUUGCACGCAUCGACUAUGCUCCCAUGGGUCAAAACCCACCACAUACGCACCCUCGCGCCACUGAGAUCCUCACGGUGCUUGAGGGAACACUGUAUGUUGGAUUUGUGACAUCCAACCAGCCCGCCCCCAACAAAAACAAGUUCCUCUCCAAGGUGCUCAACAAAGGUGAUGUGUUUGUCUUCCCCGUGGGGCUCAUCCACUUCCAAUUCAACCCCAACCCCCACCAGCCCGCUGUUGCAAUUGCCGCGCUAAGCAGCCAGAACCCAGGGGCUAUCACAAUUGCCAAUGCAGUGUUUGGGUCAGACCCACCAAUAUCAGAUGAUGUUCUUGCCAAGGCAUUUCAGGUGGAAAAGAAUACAAUUGACUAUCUCCAGGCUCAGUUCUGGGAGAACAACCACUACUAA